GGGCGUGGGUUAUCGGAUUACUGGGCGUAAGCGUGCGCAGGCGGUUUUGUAAGUCUGUCGUGAAAGCCCCGGGCUCAACCUGGGAAUUGCGAUGGAGACUGCAAGGCUUGAAUCUGGCAGAGGGGGGUAGAAUUCCACGUGUAGCAGUGAAAUGCGUAGAGAUGUGGAGGAACACCGAUGGCGAAGGCAGCCCCCUGGGUCAAGAUUGACGCUCAUGCACGAAAGCGUGGGGAGCAAACAGGAUUAGAUACCCUGGUAGUCCACGCCCUAAACGAUGUCUACUAGUUGUCGGGUUUUAAUUAACUUGGUAACGCAGCUAACGCGUGAAGUAGACCGCCUGGGGAGUACGGUCGCAAGAUUAAAACUCAAAGGAAUUGACGGGGACCCGCACAAGCGGUGGAUGAUGUGGAUUAAUUCGAUGCAACGCGAAAAACCUUACCUACCCUUGACAUGUCAGGAACCCCCGAGAGAUCGGGGGGUGCCCGAAAGGGAACCUGAACACAGGUGCUGUAUGGCUGUCGUCAGCUCGUGUCGUGAGAUGUUGGGUUAAGUCCCGCAACGAGCGCAACCCUUGUCAUUAGUUGCUACAUUCAGUUGAGCACUCUAAUGAGACUGCCGGUGACAAACCGGAGGAAGGUGGGGAUGACGUCAAGUCCUCAUGGCCCUUAUGGGCAGGGCUUCACACGUCAUACAAUGGUACAUACAGAGGGCCGCCAACCCGCGAGGGGGAGCUAAUCCCAGAAAGUGUAUCGUAGUCCGGAUCGUAGUCUGCAACUCGACUACGUGAAGUUGGAAUCGCUAGUAAUCGCGGAUCAGCAUGUCGCGGUGAAUACGUUCCCGGGUCUUGUACACACCGCCCGUCACACCAUGGGAGCGGGUUUUACCAGAAGUAGGUAGCUUAACCCGCAAGGAGGGCGCUUACCACGGUAGGAUUCGUGACUGGGGUG
rnacentral:rRNA from 1 species